CUCUGGCUGGUGCAGGCAUUGUGGCAGGCACAGAGGAGGUGGUGAGAGAGAUGUGGUCUGCUCAUGGCAAUGUGUUCUACUUGCUUGCAAUGGACUGCCUUCUAGAUCCUUAACUUUAUUCAAUAAAAUGUGACUUUCCAAACUGAAGAUUGAGACAAGAGUUUUGUGGUCGUGACGAGGGAAGAUCAGCUGGAAAAUGUUACCCUCCCGCUUUCUGAGUUUCUGUCUGUGCCUGGGAAACAUAAGUGAUGGAAUGGGAAGAUGAGAAUUCAGAACUGGAUGGCAAUUAGAAGGCGUUGGUCGGGGAGAGAGGCCGGGCACAAGAAAACAAAACGGAGAAUAAUACCUGGAAGGAAAGGGGUUCCUGGGAGAGACGAUUGAAGAAGCAGGAUGACCAAAGAGAAGAGGGAAAUGGGGGCACUGAAAAAUUUUUUAAACAGACUGAUCGCUUUCUCUGCUCUGCAGAGCUUGGCAUUCCUCACGUGCUUAUGAAGCGAGUUCUCUUUAAGAAGUUCGGUCCUUGCCCCCCCCCAAGCCCCGCCGCUCCGCAAAGGGCUCCGGGCUCCCCCUGGUGGCUAUCUUGGGUAUCGCCCCCCCAGCCCCUGCCUCAUUUAUCCCGGAGAUUCCUCAUCUCCCACUUUCCUUCUCAGAAGCUGCCCAUCAGCUUCCUUCGCUCUAGCGGCCUUGCUCUUUUUCCGUCGGUUUAUUCAUUCGGAGCCUGCCUUCGGUGUGACACCUCCCAACUGUCCUGGCCCCCGGGAACAGGCCACACAGAGCUGGCCAUUGUUGCCCCAGUUCGGGGACCACCCGGGUGGGAGCAGAGGCUGCGCGCCGCCGCGGAGGCCGGAUGAUUGACAGCAGCCUCGGGUCAAGUGCCCAGCGGCCGCCCGGAAAGGAGGCUCCCUGCCCCCCCCGCCCCGCCCCCUCCGCCGCAGGAUGCUCUUCGCUCCGCUCCCCCGCGGCGGGAACCGAGCCCUUCCUCUAAGCUCCCUUCAGACCCGGGCAAUUAACAGCACUAAAAUCUGUUUUCAACAUGGUGUGUAUGAAUAAGGGGUUUUACUUCGAGAGUGCAACUAUUUAACUUGGGAAAGGGAAUCCUGCUGGGGGUGAGACAGUGGUGCUGAAGGGAUAAAUAUGAGAAAAGGAACACACAGACCCCCCCAACUUCUCAAUGCGUAGGAUUAAAAAAUUUUGUUAGAAAUGUAUUUACUUACCAGAAACAUUUUUUAGAAAGUUAACCUGAAAAAUUUUCGGUUAAGUUGGUGACAGAUCUGUUUCCUUCCCCAUCAUCUUCUGCACCGCACACCCCCCCCCACUGCCCCGCCAGGCCAUACAGCCACACCUUGACAGAGCGGAUAUACCCCUCAAUCGUGAUGGCUCCGCAGACCUCCUACAGGUGAUGGCCAGCUUGUCAGAUUUGUACUGGAGGGGGAGGGGGUGCAAAAUCCAGUUUAAGCUGCAGAAGUCAGAAAAAGGCUGGUGACUGCUGGAGGAAGCGCUUCCCUGAAUGCUUUUGUGUCCAGAAUGUCCUACAGGUGUACACAUAUGGGUCCCCUCAAGGUGGCCAUGGCUGGUUUGGUUCCCUCAGGCUGUCAGCAGUCUCCUUCCA